GGGGGGAGGAAAUUUGAGAGGAGCUGUCCUUAGUACGAGAGGACCGGGAUGGACGCACCGCUGGUGUACCAGUUGUCUCGCCAGAGGCAUCGCUGGGUAGCUACGUGCGGACGGGAUAAGUGCUGAAAGCAUCUAAGCAUGAAGCCCCCCUCAAGAUGAGAUUUCCCAUUACGUAAGUAAGUAAGAUCCCUUGAAGAUGACGAGGUAGAUAGGUUCGGGGUGGAAGUGUGGCGACACAUGGAGCUGACGAAUACUAAUCGAUCGAGGACUUAACCAAUAAC
rnacentral:rRNA from 1 species